rnacentral:rRNA from 1 species
GACGAACGCUGGCGGCGUGCCUAAUACAUGCAAGUCGAACGAGAGCGCCCGGUGCUUGCGCUGGUCAAUCUAGUGGCGCACGGGUGAGUCACACGUGGGUCACCUGCCCAUCAGAGGGGGAUAACAUUCGGAAACGGAUGCUAAAACCGCAUAUGUCUUCGAUCCGCAUGGUGUGAUGGGGAAAAGAGGCGCAUGCUUAUGCUGAUGGAUGGACCCAGGGUGCAGUAGCUAGUUGGUGGGGUAACGGCUCAGCCAGGCCGUGAUGCAGAGACGACCUGAGAGGGGGAUCGGCCACAUGGGGGGUGAGACGCGGCCAAAGCUCCUGCGGGAGGCAGCAGUAGGGAAUCUUACGCAAUGGACGCAAGUCUGACGGAGCAACGCCGCGUGAGUGAAGAAGGUUUUCGGAUCGUAAAACUCUGUUGUUAGAGAAGAAUAAGUGCUAGAGUAACUGUUAGUGCCUUGACGGUAACUAACCAGAAAGCCACGGCUAACUACGUG